rnacentral:rRNA from 1 species
ACGCUGGCGGCGUGCUUAACACAUGCAAGUCGAACGUAUUUUUUGUGAAAUUCUCUCGGGAAUGGAAAUGAAAUGAAAGUGGCGAACGGGUGAGUAACACGUGAGCAACCUACCUUACACAGGGGGAUAGCCGUUGGAAACGACGAUUAAUACCGCAUGAGACCACAGAAUCGCAUGAUAUAGGGGUCAAAGAUUUAUCGGUGUAAGAAGGGCUCGCGUCUGAUUAGCUAGUUGGAAGGGUAAAGGCCUACCAAGGCGACGAUCAGUAGCCGGUCUGAGAGGAUGAACGGCCACAUUGGAACUGAGACACGGUCCAAACUCCUACGGGAGGCAGCAGUGGGGAAUAUUGCACAAUGGGGGGAACCCUGAUGCAGCGACGCCGCGUGAGCGAAGAAGGUUUUCGAAUCGUAAAGCUCUGUCCUAUGAGAAGAUAAUGACGGUAUCAU